UGCCAGACUCCUACGGGAGGCAGCAGUGAGGAAUAUUGGUCAAUGGGCGGGAGCCUGAACCAGCCAAGUCGCGUGAAGGAAGAAGGUACUUAGUAUUGUAAACUUCUUUUGUCGGGGAACAAAGGCGGAGACGCGUCUCCGGAUGAGUGUACCCGAAGAAAAAGCAUCGGCUAACUCCGUGCCAGCAGCCGCGGUAAUACGUAGGGAGCAAGCGUUAUCCGGAUUUACUGGGUGUAAAGGGCGCGUAGGCGGGAUGGCAAGUCAGAUGUGAAAUCCAGGGGCUCAACCCCUGAACUGCAUUUGAAACUGUCGUUCUUGAGUACUGGAGAGGUUGACGGAAUUCCUAGUGUAGCGGUGAAAUGCGUAGAUAUUAGGAGGAACACCAGUGGCGAAGGCGGUCAACUGGACAGCAACUGACGCUGAGGCGCGAAAGCGUGGGGAGCAAACAGGAUUAGAUACCCGAGUA
rnacentral:rRNA from 1 species